GACGAACGCUGGCGGCGUGCUUAACACAUGCAAGUCGAACGGAAAGGCCCUGCUUUUGUGCGGUGCUCGAGUGGCGAACGGGUGAGUAACACGUGAGUAACCUGCCCUUGACUUUGGGAUAACUUCAGGAAACUGGGGCUAAUACCGGAUAGGAGCUCCUGCUGCAUGGUGGGGGUUGGAAAGUUUCGGCGGUUGGGGAUGGACUCGCGGCUUAUCAGCUUGUUGGUGGGGUAGUGGCUUACCAAGGCUUUGACGGGUAGCCGGCCUGAGAGGGUGACCGGCCACAUUGGGACUGAGAUACGGCCCAGACUCCUACGGGAGGCAGCAGUGGGGAAUGUUGCACAAGGGGAGGAAGCCUGGUGCAGCAACGCCGCGUGGGGGAUGACGGCCUGCGGGUUGUGAACCACUUUCGCCUGUGACGAAGCGUGAGUGACGGUAAUGGGUAAAGAAGCACCGGCUAACUACGUG
rnacentral:rRNA from 1 species